rnacentral:lncRNA from 1 species
GUCUCAGCUUCGCUCAGAGGCUGACCACACCCCAUCUUCCUCCAGGACAUCCUGCCCCAGGAUUUCUAAAUCAGGACCAAAGGCAAUGGAGUGUAAACUCUACAUUCCAUUCCUUGCGUAAGGAAGCCCUGUGAAAAUUCCCCCACUUGGCAAAGAGAAGGCAGGGGAGCCCUUGAAAGCUGCUACUUUACCCCAAAGUUGAAGAGCAAAUUCUCAAAUCUUCCACUGUAAAGAGAUUUCCAAAGGAGACAGGUUAGGAGGGAUGCCUUUGUACACAUAAGAUGCACACCUUCUGUGAUGCUAAUCUACGUACUGCUGGUUCGGUCUAAUAACUCAGCUAUCAAAUCCACAGCGACGGGAGGGGAAGUUCUUAUCGGUCCUACAAAGCUACAGUUGGCUCCAUUUCACAGAUGAGGAAUUUGGGCCGUGGAGAAAUGGCUCAGCCAGGCAUCACAGGGUUUCAAAAUGUCAGUCUGAUGAGAAAACACCAGAACUACCAUGGAGAAUGAUAAAUGGAAGAGUAAGCAGCAGAAAAACAACCAAGAACUACACGGCUCAUCAGCUGGGAAUUCCCCAGAGUUUGGCAAUGCUGUGUUUCCUGCCUUAGAAUUUGUGACCCCCGGUUGACCUUUGUAUCAUUUACAUAGAGGGGCUUCUCUGAAAGAAGAACCACAUGCACACUUAAUAAAAAACGGGUGGGGACUCAGAGUCACCCAUGUGCUUCUUAGUUCCUUUUUACCUGAUACAACCUAGAGACAUCUGAGA